rnacentral:piRNA from 7 species
GGACUCUGAAUCCAGCGAUCCGAGUUC